UACGGAGGGUGCAAGCGUUAUCCGGAUUCACUGGGUUUAAAGGGUGCGUAGGUGGGCAAGUAAGUCAGUGGUGAAAUCUCCGGGCUUAACCCGGAAACUGCCAUUGAUACUAUUUGUCUUGAAUACUGUGGAGGUCAGCGGAAUAUGUCAUGUAGCGGUGAAGUGCUUAGAUAUGACAUAGAACACCAAUUGCGAAGGCAGCUGGCUAAACAAAUAUUGACACUGAGGCACGAAAGCGUGGGGAUCAAACAGG
rnacentral:rRNA from 1 species